rnacentral:rRNA from 1 species
CGGGUGAGUAAUGUCUGGGAAACUGCCUGAUGGAGGGGGAUAACUACUGGAAACGGUAGCUAAUACCGCAUAACGUCGCAAGACCGAAGAGGGGGACCUUAGGGCCUCUUGCCAUCGGAUGUGCCCAGAUGGGAUUAGCUAGUAGGUGGGGUAAUGGCUCACCUAGGCGACGAUCCCUAGCUGGUCUGAGAGGAUGACCAGCCACACUGGAACUGAGACACGGUCCAG